rnacentral:rRNA from 1 species
CUAAAAAUCUAGCCUCCUUUCCUCCCCUCUUUCUCAAAUCUAGCUAAAAUAUUUUUAAAGAUUAGUAAAGAAGAUUAAAAAACUUCUAAGCGCUAUAAAUCUGUACCGGCAAGGGAUAGAUGAAAUAAAAUGAAAAAUCUUCAGCACAAAAAAGUAAAGAUUCACUCUUGUACCUUUUGCAUCAUGGUUUAGCUAGCCUAAUUAGGCAAAAAGAUCUUAAGUCUAACUCCCCGAAACUAAGUGAGCUAUUUUAGGGCCGCUUACUGAGCCAACCCGUCUAUGUUGCAAAAUAGUGGGAAGACCCUAAAAUAGGGGUGAUAAAUCUAACGAACUUAGUUAUAGCUGGUUUCUCAAGAAAAGAAUUUUAGUCCAACCUAAAGUAACCCUAGAACCCCUAAUUAACCCUAUAACUUUAGAGCAACUCAAAUGAGGUACAGCCCAUUUGAUACAGGAUACAACCUUCACUAAUGGCUAACAUUCAACUUUAUACCCCAAAGUUGGCCUAAAAGCAGCCAUCUUUAAAAAAGCGUCAAAGCUUAGCCGUACUGUAUAAAUUUAAAAAUACAUAUUGACCCCUUUAACCAUAUUGAGAAUUUCUAUAAACCUAUAGAACCUUUUAUGCUAAAACUAAUAACAAGAGGAAACUCCUCUCUCAAAUGCUAACCUAAGCCGGCAAGAACCCCCCACCGGCAAUCAACAGACAUAAAGUAGUAACUUCCCCAGAAAACCCUACUUUCCACUAACUGUUAACCUAACACUAGAGCAUUACAAGAAAGAUUAAAAGAAAAAGAAGGAACUCGGCAAACACUAGCCCCGCCUGUUUACCAAAAACAUCGCCUCUUGUUCUCAUAAGAGGUCCAGCCUGCCCAGUGAUUUAUUCAACGGCCGCGGUAUCCUAACCGUGCGAAGGUAGCGUAAUCACUUGUCUUCUAAAUAAAGACCAGUAUGAAAGGCAUCACGAAGACUAAGCUGUCUCCUCUCUCCAAUCAGUGAACCUAAUCUCCCCGUGAAGAAGCCGGGAUCCAACUAUAAGACGAGAAGACCCUAUGGAGCUUUAAACACCGUAACACUGCCACCACCCCCACUCACUCCGGUGCAUCAGCUAAACGGCACUCUGAUUACAUGUUUUUGAUUGGGGUGAUCGCGGAGAAAAACUUAUCCUCCGCAAUGAAAGGGACCUCCCCCCUAAACAACAAGUUACAACUUUAUGCAUCAAAAAAUUGACAUUUAUUGACCCAAUAAUUGAUUAACGAACCAAGUUACCCUAGGGAUAACAGCACAAUCCACUUUGAGAGCCCGUAUCGACAAGUGGGCUUAUGACCUCGAUGUUGGAUCGGGAUAUCCUAGUGGUGCAACCGCUACUAAAGGU